UUUUUUAUUUUUAUUUUUUUUAAUUUUUAAAUAUCAGAUCAGUUUUGUAACUGGGAAAUUGAUUAUAAUAGGUAAGGAGGGCUUUUAUAUUCACUAAAUGCAAGGAUGAUGAUGAAAGUUAACCUUAAAGUGUGUGAUCAUUAGUAUCUCUGCUAGCAGUGUGUAGUGCACUUCUAAUAUUUUUCAGGGAGUGGAACACCUUUGGCCAUGUGAGAUGUAUCCUGUUUAAUAAUGUAGUUAGUCAUGAACGCAUCUAUCUUUUAUGUUGACGCCUGUAAUUGUUUAUUUCAUUUUCUUGAUCCUUACUAUUGAUUUUAUCCAGUUUGUUCAAUCUGAGAUGCUUCUCGCAAUUAUCUACUCUGGAAGUUCAUGUUCCAAGUGAAAUAAGAAAGAGAGAUUCCUGUGUAUUAAGUGUAUCUGUUUGAUCUAUACUCAAUGUGCUUUACCAUGUAUCCCUUACAAAUACUUGUGUGUUUUUCUCAUUGGUGAUAGUAGUGCAGCCUUUCAAUUGCAUUAGUUCAUUUGUUUGCUGAGUUUAUUUCAUUUUCUUAUGAUAUUAGUCAUGUUGUUUGCAGUUGUACUAUCAAUUUCAUUUAACUAAAACAUAGGACUUUUACCUGCAUCACUCAUGUCACAGGUUGUAAUGGUACAACACUUUUUUCUUCUCUGAACAGGUAUGCAGCUGCUCCCCAGGAAC
rnacentral:misc_RNA from 1 species